CGAGUUGGUCAGGCAAUCGCUGGUUUAUUGAAGCUCUCAACCGUUGUUGCGGCGUCACAGUCGCAAAAUAACCUAGAGGACAAGUAGACGAGAGGAAAGUCCGGGCUACAUAGGGCAGAGUGCCGGAUAACGUCCGGGAGGCGUGAGCCUACGACAAGUGCAACAGAGAGCAAACCGCCGAUGGCUUUUUUGAAGCACAGGUAAGGGUGAAAGGGUGCGGUAAGAGCGCACCGGGCGACCGGUAACGGUUCGUUGCAGGGUAAACUCCACUCGUAGCAAGACCAAAUAGGAACUCAAUGGGUGUGCCCGCUCAGAGUUCGGGUAGGUUGCUUGAGCGUUGGUGCAAACCAACGCCUAGAGGAAUGAUUGUCCACGACAGAACCCGGCUUAUCGACCAACUCGACUU
rnacentral:RNase_P_RNA from 5 species